CCUAAUAUAUAUGUAUGAUAUAUCUGUUGCAACAACCGUAGGUGAUGCGUGUAGAUAUAUAUACUACUCCCUCUAUAUCUAAAUAAUUGUAAUUAAAGAGAAUUAGACUAUCUCUUUUCAACUACAAUUAUUUAGGUACAAAUGAUAUAUACACGUCCGUGGAGGUACUGGGUAUGCAUGCACCUUUCUGUUAGAAAGACUUCAUUCCUUUUAUAAAUCUUUGAUCUUUGGUAUGCAGAAGUAUUACGGUGCAUCUACAUAUGAGUCCUAGUUAUAUCAGGAUCCUUCUUUUCCUUGGAACUCCAAUAUAUCGAGGCGUUUAUAUAUCAUGUACCGUUUUAUAUAUUUCUGGAAUUGACCUGCUAACCACAGCAAGGCCUCACGCUAUAGUGUCUCGCCCACAACGAGUGCCGAAUAUAUUUGCUUCCAUGGCAUUGCAUAUACAUAUAAGGUAUAACUAUAUAUAUGAUGGGUUUCAGAUGCACUCACCAAUCACCACUCGGCCUGAAAUAUUUCACUAAUAAGUUCAGUUGGAUUGUAAUAUAGUUUAUUAGUUCCAAAAUUCACCAUAACUUCUUGGGUCUUUCAUAACUAAAUGGGGGUCUACUACAUAGAAGCAUAUAAUUAGGUAAAACCAGUAAGUUAACCUACAUGCCAGUACUAUAGAGGAGAAUAUAUUCCUGAAAUAACUAUCAUUAACUGGGUUAUGGCAAACAAUAAAGUUCAGCCUGAUCAGUCAUAUGCACAAGUUACUUACGAUUUUUUUUGUAAUUAAGGCCGGAUCGACCAUGUAGUUGAUACCAAUAUCAUAUAUCCUAUAUAUCUAACUAUCCCAUUUAAAUACACAUGCAAGCCAGCCACAUCAUCAAGUUCAUCCAACCUUUCCACUUUCCAUCACAUGCAAGCCCUCCACAUCAUCAAAAAUUCUGCAGCAAGUUAAUAACCUUUGUUGUCCAUUUUCCACCACAUGCAAGCCCUCCGCCUAUUCUAAUUUUAUUUUUGAUAAUUUCUUGGUAUUGCGCACGGUGUUAUCUAG
rnacentral:lncRNA from 1 species